rnacentral:rRNA from 1 species
GCGCGAUGUCAGCAAUACCUAGGUCACCCUUGAAUAAACUACCCUUGUUGCUUUGGCGGGCCGCCCCUCGGGGCCAGCGGCUUCGGCUGCUGCGCGCCCGCCAGAGGACCACAACUCUUGUUUUUAGUGAUGUCUGGGUACUAUAUAAUAGUUAAAACUUUCAACAACGGAUCUCUUGGUUCUGGCAUCGAUGAAGAACGCAGCGAAAUGCGAUAAGUAAUGUGAAUUGCAGAAUUCAGUGAAUCAUCGAAUCUUUGAACGCACAUUGCGCCCUUUGGUAUUCCGAAGGGCAUGCCUGUUCGAGCGUCAUUAUAACCACUCAAGCCUUCGCUUGGUAUUGGGGUUCGCGGCUGCGCGGCCCCUAAAAUCAGUGGCGGUGCCUGUCGGCUCUACGCGUAGUAAUACUCCUCGCGUCUGGGUUCCGGUAGGUUGCUUGCCAGCAACCCCUAAAUUUUUUACAGGUUGACCUCGGAUCAGGUAGGGAUACCCGCUGAACUUAAGCAUAUCAAU